GUGCCUAAUACAUGCAAGUCGUACGCACUGGCCCAACUGAUUGAUGGUGCUUGCACCUGAUUGACGAUGGAUCACCAGUGAGUGGCGGACGGGUGAGUAACACGUAGGUAACCUGCCCCGGAGCGGGGGAUAACAUUUGGAAACAGAUGCUAAUACCGCAUAACAACAAAAGCCACAUGGCUUUUGUUUGAAAGAUGGCUUUGGCUAUCACUCUGGGAUGGACCUGCGGUGCAUUAGCUAGUUGGUAAGGUAACGGCUUACCAAGGCGAUGAUGCAUAGCCGAGUUGAGAGACUGAUCGGCCACAAUGGAACUGAGACACGGUCCAUACUCCUACGGGAGGCAGCAGUAGGGAAUCUUCCACAAUGGGCGCAAGCCUGAUGGAGCAACACCGCGUGAGUGAAGAAGGGUUUCGGCUCGUAAAGCUCUGUUGUUGGAGAAGAACGUGCGUGAGAGUAACUGUUCACGCAGUGACGGUAUCCAACCAGAAAGUCACGGCUAACUACGUGCCAGCAGCCGCGGUAAUACGUAGGUGGCAAGCGUUAUCCGGAUUUAUUGGGCGUAAAGCGAGCGCAGGCGGUUGCUUAGGUCUGAUGUGAAAGCCUUCGGCUUAACCGAAGAAGUGCAUCGGAAACCGGGCGACUUGAGUGCAGAAGAGGACAGUGGAACUCCAUGUGUAGCGGUGGAAUGCGUAGAUAUAUGGAAGAACACCAGUGGCGAAGGCGGCUGUCUGGUCUGCAACUGACGCUGAGGCUCGAAAGCAUGGGUAGCGAACAGGAUUAGAUACCCUGGUAGUCCAUGCCGUAAACGAUGAGUGCUAGGUGUUGGAGGGUUUCCGCCCUUCAGUGCCGGAGCUAACGCAUUAAGCACUCCGCCUGGGGAGUACGACCGCAAGGUUGAAACUCAAAGGAAUUGACGGGGGCCCGCACAAGCGGUGGAGCAUGUGGUUUAAUUCGAAGCUACGCGAAGAACCUUACCAGGUCUUGACAUCUUGCGCUAACCUUAGAGAUAAGGCGUUCCCUUCGGGGACGCAAUGACAGGUGGUGCAUGGUCGUCGUCAGCUCGUGUCGUGAGAUGUUGGGUUAAGUCCCGCAACGAGCGCAACCCUUGUUACUAGUUGCCAGCAUUAAGUUGGGCACUCUAGUGAGACUGCCGGUGACAAACCGGAGGAAGGUGGGGACGACGUCAGAUCAUCAUGCCCCUUAUGACCUGGGCUACACACGUGCUACAAUGGACGGUACAACGAGUCGCAAGCUCGCGAGAGUAAGCUAAUCUCUUAAAGCCGUUCUCAGUUCGGACUGUAGGCUGCAACUCGCCUACACGAAGUCGGAAUCGCUAGUAAUCGCGGAUCAGCAUGCCGCGGUGAAUACGUUCCCGGGCCUUGUACACACCGCCCGUCACACCAUGGGAGUUUGUAACGCCCAAAGUCGGUGGCCUAACCUUUAUGGAGGGAGCCG
rnacentral:rRNA from 1 species